AUGUUGAUCCACAGAGCAGAGAUAACAGAUAGACUGCUGAUCAGUACGGCAGAACAUCUUUAUCACCUCAUUAUGACGAGAGCAGAUGUUGUCCUGGAGCUUCGUGGUGGCCUCCACCGGCUUGUGAUUCUUCAACUGAGCCACAUCAUAAUGAGGCUGCAGGUGUUUCUCGCAGUAAGAGACCAGACAGACCAGACAGACCAGAGAGACCAGAGAAACCAGACAGGACUUGAGGGCUUUCACUUUUCUCCCAGUCCAAAAAUCACAGGCCACAUCUUCAGGUGCAGCAUAGCAGUGAUCAGCAGGAGCAGCUUGGAGUUCAGUCUUCUUCAGGUCCAGCAUAGCAGUGAUCAGCAGGAGCAGCUUGGAGUCCAGUCUUCUUCAGCUCCUCCACUAAAACUGCUAACAUGGUGUUUUUAACCAGGACAGGCCUCGGUGUGAAGGUCUGCCUACACUGAGGGCAGCUGUGGAUUUUCUUCACAUCUUCUUUGUCCCAGUGAUCUUUAAUACAGUUCAUGCAGUAGCUGUGUCCACAGGGAAUAGUCACCGGAUCCUUCAGUAGAUCCAGACAGAUCGAACAAGAGAAGGUCUCCCGGUCCAGCUGAACACCUUUCUGUGCCAUUUCACCUCUCAGUGACAACAACUGUCUGAGUUUCACUUCCUGAAAACUGAAACCAGUUUGAGGUCUAAUCUGAACAGCAUGCGUUGCCUCAGUGAUUUGUGCCUGUCUGCUCCUGCACUGCACUGCAUGUUGGUCACACCCAUCCACGAGUUGUAGAGCUGAAGGGGAGUGAAUGAGGAAACUGUUGUGGAGCUCGUUGUGUUUGAGAGCAGGAAGAAGAGGGAGGGGUCAUUAAGCUUCGAUCCAUUCCAGGAAGACGAGCGAGUUGAGAGAGACAACGUGUGUUGAACACUUGUUUACGGUAGAGCUCAUCUCUGAUUCUAAACACUGGUCCCUUCAACUGUUAGGAGGUAAAGUCUUCUUAGUAUCAGAGACCAUCGUGUUGCUUCGGCAGACACUCUGUAGUGUAGCUUGGGAGAAGUACACUAGCCCAAACAAUCUGUGUUAUGGCCUAACUUAUAGAGGGCAGCUUCCUGUGGAAGAGGGGUGACUAUGGCACAAUCUAGUGGCUGUUGUAGGCAUACAGAUCGGGGCCAAUAAAGAUAAACACAGUUUUACAGGUGUAAGUGUUCCUUCCAAACUUUCAACAUGCACUAAUUGGAAUGCAGGGCAGUAACAGUUGGAGGAUUGUCUCUUAAGGUUGACUCG
rnacentral:lncRNA from 1 species